UGGCAGAAGUUCUUUGGUUGCCUCCCCCUUGCUAGCCCAGCAUGUGUGCUUUUCUCAUGGUCUGGAGGACCCCACUUACUUUUCCUCUGGCCAUAUCUACCCACUGGCCCUCAGAAGGCUGCCCACAAGAGACUGCGCCCCUUGGGCUGUAAGGGUUCCUCACACCUGGACUCGAUGGACCUUUGGGCUGACCAAGAAAUACUCUUCUUAGUUCUCUGACAUCCCUAGUAACAUGUGGCCUAUCUUGCAUCCCCACAAUCGGCCUGUGGACUGAAAGCAACAACAACAGCGAAUACCAACUGUAUUUUGCUCAGUGGCAGCUGGCGGCUCCAUGCCAUUGGAAUUUAGGAGCUGUCCAAGGCCCCAGCCUGCAUGAUCAAGGGUGAGGAAUAAUGGACAGCUCCUUGAACGUUUGGACUAAAACCUGGAGUGGAUUCCACUGCCCCACUGACAUGGAGCUACCAGCUAUCAGCAUGAUUUUGCCGAUGAUGCUAAACUGUUCAGGGUUGUUAAAACAAAAAGGGAUUGUGAAGAGCUCCAACUGAGUGAAUGGGUGGUAAAAUGGCGGUAAAAGAGCCCUGCCAGAUCAGACCAGUGGCCCUUCUAGUCCACCAUCCUAUUCUUGCUGUGGCCAGCCAGAUGCCUAUGGAGAGCCUGGAAGCAGGACCUGAGCACAGCAGCACCCUCCCUGCUCAUGAUUCCCAGCCACAGGUAUUCAGAGGCAAAGUAUGUCUGACAGUGGUAGGAAAACAUCACUGUUAUACCAGGUAGCUAUUGAUAGCCUUUUCCUCCAUGAAUUUGUUCACUCUCUUUUAAAGACAUCCAGGUUGGUGGCCAACACUCCAUCCUGUGGGAGAAAAUGCCAUAGUUUAACUACAUGCCUGUCGGUGGACCCCUUGAAGGUUCUCCAAUAAAUAGCCCUGGCAUUGGUUCCAUUUUGGUGCCCUCUGGAGUCAGCCAUACUUCUUCUCCUUUGGACUCCCAGCCCCCCAGACAUGAAACCAGAACACUCAGAGGCAACUGUGGAGAUGAGUCAGCUUUUUAUCACUCAGCAUCAUGGAAAAAAUUGUUUUGCUCAGCCUGAGGGUGUAGAAUUCUUGAUGCUGGACUCUUACCUAAUAGUGUUUAGAGAACAAACAAGCCUGCUUACAUUACUAAUCUCUGCCUAUUUCCAAGCCAAUUUGAAACUUGACUCACUCUUUCUCCAUGUGUUGCAGGGGUGCAGGGAGUCAUCUGUCCCUCCCCCUCCAAUGUCUCUUCCUGAAGGCCAAAAGGCCCCUUCUGUGUACAGCAGGGGUGAGGAACCUGUGGUCCUCCAGAUGUUGUUGGAUUACAUCUCCCAUCAUCCUCGACCAUUGGCCAUGCUGGUGAUGAGAGCUGGAGUCCAUCAAUAUUUGGAGGGCCACAGGUUCCCCACUGCUGCCGUACAGUAUUUGCUCUUCAGAGAAGCCAUUUAGGAUUGACUAUUGGAUGGAUGAACAGAGUCUAUUAUGCAGCCAUCAAGGGCCAGCCAUGCAUGUGUGAACCAUCACUGGGUUGCCUCUUUUGGGAACACACAUACAUGCGUACAUGCACAAAGUCUGAUCCUGGGAUCCAUAGGAUUUGGCUCAUAUUCAACUAUUUGGAGCCCUUGCUGGAUGUUAGGGAUAGACAGAUCUGUCACUUUUGGUCCUCUCAAUUUCACAUUUUUCCAAUCUUAAAUUAAGUUCUCUACAUUUGUGCAGCAACUUGCAAAUUGUAUCCAAAAAUAUUCUCUUGCAUUGUAGUGCAAGUUUCUCCUAAUAAACACAUCUUUAGAUGCAGUUUUGACUAAUGUACAUGUUUUUUAAGCCAUUUGUCCUAAUAUAAUGCAUUUUUGUAUGUUAUUUUCA